rnacentral:rRNA from 1 species
CCUACGGGAUGCAGCAGUGAGGAAUAUUGGUCAAUGGGCGUAAGCCUGAACCAGCCAAGUCGCGUGAGGGAAUAAGGCCCUACGGGUUGUAAACCUCUUUUGUCGGGGAGCAAAGGCAGGGACGUGUAGCGGCACGGAGAGUACCUGAAGAAAACGCAUCGGCUAACUCCGUGCCAGCAGCCGCGGUAAUCCGGAGUAUGCGAGCGUUAUCCGGAUUUAUUGGGUUUAAAGGGUGCGUAGGCGGGAUUCUAAGUCAGCGGUAAAAUCUCGGGGCUCAACCCCGUUCGGCCGUUGAAACUGGUGUUCUUGAGUGAGCGAGAAGUAGGCGGAAUUCGUGGUGUAGCGGUGAAAUGCAUAGAUAUCACGCAGAACACCGAUGGCGAAGGCAGCAUACUGGCGCCCAACUGACGCUGAGGCACGAAAGUGUGGGGAUCGAACAGGAUUAGAUACCCGAGUAGUC